UGGUUCUCAAACCAGUCCUCAAGGCCCACCAACAGUCCAGGUUUUGUUAGUAUCUCCAUUGGAAUAAAACAGGGAAGUACAGAAAUCCUGGACUGUUGGUGGCCCAUGAGGACUGGUUUGAGAACU
rnacentral:miRNA from 1 species